rnacentral:rRNA from 1 species
UACGUAGGGUGCAAGCGUUAAUCGGAAUACUGGGCGUAAAGCGUGCGCAGGCGGUUGUGCAAGACAGAUGUGAAAUCCCCGGGCUUAACCUGGGAACUGCAUUUGUGACUGCACGGCUAGAGUGUGUCAGAGGGGGGGGUAGAAUUCCACGUGUAGCAGUGAAAUGCGUAGAUAUGUGGAGGAAUACCGAUGGCGAAGGCAGCCCCCUGGGCCAAUACUGACGCUCAUGCACGAAAGCGUGGGGGAGCAAACAGG